UUUCCAACUCACCUCUAUUUAAUACCAAACAAUCUUAUAAACCCUUAUUAACUAUUGGAAGACUCCAUAGCCUAUGGAGGACACUAUGCUUGAACUAGUAACAAGAACAUGAAUUUCUCCUAAAUAUUAGUGUAAGCCGCAACAGACAAACUAACGGCAAUCAACGUCAAUAAUUCUAAUAUAAUAACCCCCAAGAAAAAUUAUAAAACCCAACGUUACCCUUACACAAGUAUAUUACAGGAAAGAUUAAAAGAAAGAGAAGGAACUCGGCAAACUCCCUACCCCGCCUGUUUACCAAAAACAUCGCCUCUUGCUAAACCAUAAGAGGUCCAGCCUGCCCAGUGAAUAUUAAACGGCCGCGGUACCCUAACCGUGCUAAGGUAGCACAAUUACUUGUCCUUUAAAUGGGGACUAGAAUGAAAGGCAUCACGAGGGUUUUACUGUCUCCUCUUUUUAAUCAGUGAAACUGACUUCCCCGUGAAAAGGCGGGAAUUAAUAUAUUAGACGAGAAGACCCCAUGGAGCUUUAGACACGAAGCAAAUCUAAGCCCCCUACUCCUCCCCAGCUCCAAUCUUUACCUUCAAGUCUUCGGUUGGGGCAACCAUGGAGUAAAAAUUAACCUCCAUACCGAAUGGAAUAUUCCUUAUUCAAGAAUUACCACUCUAAAAAACAGAAUACUGACGCCCACUGAUCCGGAACCCGAUCAAUGAACCAAGUUACCCUGGGGAUAACAGCGCUAUCUACCUAGAGAGCUCAUAUCGACAGGUAGGUUUACGACCUCGAUGUUGGAUCAGGGUAUCCUAGUGGUGCAGCCGCUAUAUUAGGUUCG
rnacentral:rRNA from 1 species